rnacentral:lncRNA from 1 species
AAGCAUAAGUGGAAACACAGGCAGGCAUGUGAAAACGUAUUUUAUUUCUUCAUGCUAUAUAAAAUUCAGGAUGGCGAAAUCCGACAAAUAACAGUGGUGGUUUCCCUCCAGGGUUGAUCAAUCACAUGGAACUAGUGGAGAGAAUACCGGCUGGACCUCCUUGUAGAAAAUAAAUACACCACAGACAGACUCAUUACUCGAGUAAUAAAAAUUAAACGGCAGGCAGUUCCUCCCCUACAGGAAAAAGGACUCAACAACAAAAGAUAUACCUACCGACAAGACGAAACCUGAUGGGCCGUCUCUCAGCAGCAGCAGCAGCAGCAGCAGCAGCAGCAGCAGCAGCAGCAGCUUAGAUCUUCGAGUUGGCGAUCUUGUACCACUCGGUGUGGAAGGAUCCCGGCAUGUCGACCCUCUCGUAGGUGUG